CACGCCGUCACUGCAUUAGCACUGCUCCAAGCUCUCGCUGAUCCUGAUCACUGCUCUCGGCGUGCUUAAUAAAUAAAAUAAUCCCGGAGCGGCCUCACUCCCCUCAAGCUCAGCUGCGGAGCUGCUCAGCUUAGCUUAAGCGAGCCCAGGUAGAACUAGUACAAGGCCCCGUCCCAUCUACCAGGCCGUCGUCACCCACCCUCCACUCUCUUGGUUCUUCCUCCUCCUGCUCCAACUACGGCCGCCGCCGAUGCUCACCGGAUCCAAGAAGAACGGCCGACCGAUCGAUCGACUCGCCUCCCUGCCAAUUGCUUGCUCCUCCGUGCAUGUGCCUUCUGCAUCUGUUGUCAUCUGGUUGUUACAGGAGAAGACACAGGCGUGAGUGAGAUUAAGAGGCCCUGAAGAGAUUGACAGAAGAGAGCGAGCACCCGGCGCGGCGGCCGGCAUGGAGCGCAUGCCGUCCCCGCCGCGUGCUCGCUCCUCUUUCUGUCAGCCUCUCUCUCGUCCUGACCGGGCCGAGGCUCCCUCUGAUCUGGGCCGCCAUGCCACGCCACGCUGGCGAGGAGGCGACAGAAGAAUUGGGGCGCGGUGGAUGGAUCGGGAACCGUGCCGCCACGCAGAGAUGGAUGGGGGCGACACGCAUGCUGCGCGAGGACGACGGCUUUCGCAGGCUGCGCCAGGCGGCAAGGACAUGUCACUUCAAUUAUCUUCUAGAGAUACGCAUGGAUUUCGAGUAUUUUUUGCUCUCGAUUUGAUCCCUUUCGGUCAGGCUGCUGUCGCGGGGCUACUACCGAGGAAGAGGAUGAGGAUGCUCCUGCUGAUGCUGCUGAUACCGAUGGCACGGCCACGGCGCGGAGAUGGGUUCAAAGAGUACUUUGCUUCCAUGCCUCGCACUGCUCGCAGGCGGCGAGCUUGUUCGUGACUUGCUGCCUGCCUUGGGAGCUGAAUCGGGGAUGCUGACAGUACACUGCGGCACUGUAAGGAUUUAACAGAACAAAGACUACUGCAAAACUGCAUCGUCUCUCCCUCUCUCUCCCUUCCCUUUCCCAUGGUGCAGCUAGAGCUAGCUCAUCUUCUCUCAUGGGCACUGUAGCCAUUAUUCAUGCGCUGUCUCUUCUCUUUCUUUGCUGAGGCUGCUCUUGUUGUCCUGGAGUUCUUGGGGUCCUCCUGCGGCCAUGGCGAUGCAGGUGGCUCAUGGCUGUGCACCUGUGCUGCUGCUGAGCUCCUGUGUUGGUUCAAAAAUGGGGCAUGGAGGGUACCAUGUGAUGAUCCAUAUUUGGCAAAGACCGUGGACUCUCACAUUGCUUUUUGCCAGAUCUGGUUUGCAUCAAGGGAGAGAAUGGAGACCACGCUGCUGGUCUUUACAGGGUUGCUGGUGAAGAUGGUUGGAUGUGGGCGUCAUGAAUUCAUGGGCAACACAAUUUGCAAUUUUUUCUUAUGACCAAGGCAUAAGGUUGCUUAUAAUCCGGGACAAGAUAAGUACAAUGAUACCAAAUUUCCAUGUUAAGAGAAAAUGGCCAUCGUACUAUUGCAAGGAUCUAAGGAACUGCUACAAUCCCUGAACCUAGUUCCCAACGUUGAAGGUGUUGAUUGGUGGCGCCUGAUAAAGGAACAGAGAAACGUGAAUUGCUACGGAGCAGGUUACCGCAAACAGGAAGGUAAACGGCAACGGUGAACGCUGAAAACUGAAGAUUUUGAAGGCACAGCAUGUGGCUCAUCUGGCAGACAGUGAAGGUGAAAGCUCUCGCUAUUCCUGAUGAAUUGACGAUAUCUUCUGUUUCAACCAAUGCAAGGCGUUCAGUGCCCAUGAAUCCAACCACCAAGAGUCCCAAGUCACACAAUCUUGCUGCCUCCUUAUCCUAGAUUCACUAUUCAGAGUGUCGCUUUCAGGAUGUUUUACCUACUGAACAGUGAAAUGUUGCUGUUCGAUCAGUUGCGACUACUCGCAGACCUCCAGCCUUUCUUGGAGGGACGUCAGGCUCCAGAUUCGUUGAGGCCUUGAGGUCAAAACAUGCGAGUGCUUAGCUGCCAAUGCAAGGUUCAAACGAGCUGGACAGGUCCCCGUCAAUCCGUCAUGUGUCCAGGUCCAAUAACUGGUUGCCCAAAGAAAUCGAUGCAGUACGCGAGUAUACGAGCUCCUCUAGCACCAGUGUGGUAAAUGUAUUGUGGUACUACCCGAAAUCUAGUUCGGUGCUUGGUGGUUGUCAUCUUGUAAAGUCUGCAAGAUUGCAACUUUUCUCAGGCUCUCUAAUGCAUAUCCCCUAGCCAGGCUUCUAAUGCAAGAUUGUACUAACUCCUGAGCACAUUCGUCAGUGCAAUUUGCAACCAUAUGAGAUCUGCAGGUCAGACUAAAUUUAAAUUUCUUUGUAAAAAACUACACCUAAAAAGUGACUGCAACUCUGUGUCUCUGUGUAAACUAACUGUAACAUGGGGAUAUAAACGAAAAUCAAGUGUUAGGAUGUAAUGAAGCAUCUGAAUUUUUUUUUUCUUACCUCAUAUAUACUCAGGAACCAUAGAGUACAGGUUUUUGGCACAGAUGUGAGUGUAAUUGUGAUGUUGAAUAUUGUAUGUAUGGCUAAAUUUAAAUUUCUUGUAAACAA